rnacentral:rRNA from 1 species
AGCAGCCGCGGUAAUUCCAGCUCCAAUAGCGUAUAUUAAAGUUGUUGCAGUUAAAAAGCUCGUAGUUGAAUUUCGGGGUUAGCAAGUUGGUCGUGCCUUCGGUAUGCACUGGCUUUGCCGAUUCCUCCUUCUUGAAGAACUGUGAUGCUAUUAAUUUGGUGUUGCAGGGAAACAGGACUGUUACUUUGAAAAAAUUAGAGUGUUUAAAGCAGGCUAACGCUUGAAUACAUUAGCAUGGAAUAAUGAAAUAGGACGUUUGAUCCUAUUUUGUUGGUUUCUAGGAUUGACGUAAUGAUUAAUAGGGAUAGUUGGGGGCAUUAGUAUUCAAUUGUCAGAGGUGAAAUUCUUGGAUUUAUUGAAGACUAACUACUGCGAAAGCAUUUGCCAAGGAUGUUUUCAUUAAUCAAGAACGAAAGUUAGGGGAUCGAAGACGAUCAGAUACCGUCGUAGUCUUAACCAUAAACUAUGCCGACUAGGGAUCGAAUGAUGUUAAUUUUUAAUGACU